rnacentral:tRNA from 1 species
GCAGUGGUGGUUCAGUGGUAGAAUUCACACCUUUCUUGCAUGAGACUUGGGUUCAAUUCCCAGACAAUGCA